GGGUUGUGAGGUUAAGCGACUAAGCGUACACGGUGGAUGCCCUGGCAGUCAGAGGCGAUGAAGGACGUGCUAAUCUGCGAUAAGCGUCGGUAAGGUGAUAUGAACCGUUAUAACCGGCGAUUUCCGAAUGGGGAAACCCAGUGUGAUUCGUCACACUAUCAUUAACUGAAUCCAUAGGUUAAUGAGGCGAACCGGGGGAACUGAAACAUCUAAGUACCCCGAGGAAAAGAAAUCAACCGAGAUUCCCCCAGUAGCGGCGAGCGAACGGGGAGCAGCCCAGAGCCUGAAUCAGUGUGUGUGUUAGUGGAAGCGUCUGGAAAGGCGCGCGAUACAGGGUGACAGCCCCGUACACAAAAAUGCACAUGCUGUGAGCUCGAUGAGUAGGGCGGGACACGUGGUAUCCUGUCUGAAUAUGGGGGGACCAUCCUCCAAGGCUAAAUACUCCUGACUGACCGAUAGUGAACCAGUACCGUGAGGGAAAGGCGAAAAGAACCCCGGCGAGGGGAGUGAAAAAGAACCUGAAACCGUGUACGUACAAGCAGUGGGAGCACGCUUAGGCGUGUGACUGCGUACCUUUUGUAUAAUGGGUCAGCGACUUAUAUUCUGUAGCAAGGUUAACCGAAUAGGGGAGCCGAAGGGAAACCGAGUCUUAACUGGGCGUUAAGUUGCAGGGUAUAGACCCGAAACCCGGUGAUCUAGCCAUGGGCAGGUUGAAGGUUGGGUAACACUAACUGGAGGACCGAACCGACUAAUGUUGAAAAAUUAGCGGAUGACUUGUGGCUGGGGGUGAAAGGCCAAUCAAACCGGGAGAUAGCUGGUUCUCCCCGAAAGCUAUUUAGGUAGCGCCUCGUGAAUUCAUCUCCGGGGGUAGAGCACUGUUUCGGCAAGGGGGUCAUCCCGACUUACCAACCCGAUGCAAACUGCGAAUACCGGAGAAUGUUAUCACGGGAGACACACGGCGGGUGCUAACGUCCGUCGUGAAGAGGGAAACAACCCAGACCGCCAGCUAAGGUCCCAAAGUCAUGGUUAAGUGGGAAACGAUGUGGGAAGGCCCAGACAGCCAGGAUGUUGGCUUAGAAGCAGCCAUCAUUUAAAGAAAGCGUAAUAGCUCACUGGUCGAGUCGGCCUGCGCGGAAGAUGUAACGGGGCUAAACCAUGCACCGAAGCUGCGGCAGCGACACUGUGUGUUGUUGGGUAGGGGAGCGUUCUGUAAGCCUGCGAAGGUGUGCUGUGAGGCAUGCUGGAGGUAUCAGAAGUGCGAAUGCUGACAUAAGUAACGAUAAAGCGGGUGAAAAGCCCGCUCGCCGGAAGACCAAGGGUUCCUGUCCAACGUUAAUCGGGGCAGGGUGAGUCGACCCCUAAGGCGAGGCCGAAAGGCGUAGUCGAUGGGAAACAGGUUAAUAUUCCUGUACUUGGUGUUACUGCGAAGGGGGGACGGAGAAGGCUAUGUUGGCCGGGCGACGGUUGUCCCGGUUUAAGCGUGUAGGCUGGUUUUCCAGGCAAAUCCGGAAAAUCAAGGCUGAGGCGUGAUGACGAGGCACUACGGUGCUGAAGCAACAAAUGCCCUGCUUCCAGGAAAAGCCUCUAAGCAUCAGGUAACAUCAAAUCGUACCCCAAACCGACACAGGUGGUCAGGUAGAGAAUACCAAGGCGCUUGAGAGAACUCGGGUGAAGGAACUAGGCAAAAUGGUGCCGUAACUUCGGGAGAAGGCACGCUGAUAUGUAGGUGAAGUCCCUCGCGGAUGGAGCUGAAAUCAGUCGAAGAUACCAGCUGGCUGCAACUGUUUAUUAAAAACACAGCACUGUGCAAACACGAAAGUGGACGUAUACGGUGUGACGCCUGCCCGGUGCCGGAAGGUUAAUUGAUGGGGUCAGCGCAAGCGAAGCUCUUGAUCGAAGCCCCGGUAAACGGCGGCCGUAACUAUAACGGUCCUAAGGUAGCGAAAUUCCUUGUCGGGUAAGUUCCGACCUGCACGAAUGGCGUAAUGAUGGCCAGGCUGUCUCCACCCGAGACUCAGUGAAAUUGAACUCGCUGUGAAGAUGCAGUGUACCCGCGGCAAGACGGAAAGACCCCGUGAACCUUUACUAUAGCUUGACACUGAACAUUGAGCCUUGAUGUGUAGGAUAGGUGGGAGGCUUUGAAGUGUGGACGCCAGUCUGCAUGGAGCCGACCUUGAAAUACCACCCUUUAAUGUUUGAUGUUCUAACGUUGACCCGUGAUCCGGGUUGCGGACAGUGUCUGGUGGGUAGUUUGACUGGGGCGGUCUCCUCCUAAAGAGUAACGGAGGAGCACGAAGGUUGGCUAAUCCUGGUCGGACAUCAGGAGGUUAGUGCAAUGGCAUAAGCCAGCUUGACUGCGAGCGUGACGGCGCGAGCAGGUGCGAAAGCAGGUCAUAGUGAUCCGGUGGUUCUGAAUGGAAGGGCCAUCGCUCAACGGAUAAAAGGUACUCCGGGGAUAACAGGCUGAUACCGCCCAAGAGUUCAUAUCGACGGCGGUGUUUGGCACCUCGAUGUCGGCUCAUCACAUCCUGGGGCUGAAGUAGGUCCCAAGGGUAUGGCUGUUCGCCAUUUAAAGUGGUACGCGAGCUGGGUUUAGAACGUCGUGAGACAGUUCGGUCCCUAUCUGCCGUGGGCGCUGGAGAACUGAGGGGGGCUGCUCCUAGUACGAGAGGACCGGAGUGGACGCAUCACUGGUGUUCGGGUUGUCAUGCCAAUGGCACUGCCCGGUAGCUAAAUGCGGAAGAGAUAAGUGCUGAAAGCAUCUAAGCACGAAACUUGCCCCGAGAUGAGUUCUCCCUGACUCCUUGAGAGUCCUGAAGGAACGUUGAAGACGACGACGUUGAUAGGCCGGGUGUGUAAGCGCAGCGAUGCGUUGAGCUAACCGGUACUAAUGAACCGUGAGG
rnacentral:rRNA from 1 species